rnacentral:rRNA from 1 species
CCUACGGGUGGCUGCAGUGGGGAAUAUUGCACAAUGGGCGCAAGCCUGAUGCAGCCAUGCCGCGUGUGUGAAGAAGGCCUUCGGGUUGUAAAGCACUUUCAGCGGGGAGGAAGGCGUUAAGGUUAAUAACCUUGUCGAUUGACGUUACCCGCAGAAGGAGCACCGGCUAACUCCGUGCCAGCAGCCGCGGUAAUACGGAGGGUGCAAGCGUUAAUCGGAAUUACUGGGCGUAAAGCGCACGCAGGCGGUCCGUCAAGUCGGAUGUGAAAUCCCCGGGCUCAACCUGGGAACUGCAUUCGAAACUGGCAGGCUAGAGUCUUGUAGAGGGGGGUAGAAUUCCAGGUGUAGCGGUGAAAUGCGUAGAGAUCUGGAGGAAUACCGGUGGCGAAGGCGGCCCCCUGGACAAAGACUGACGCUCAGGUGCGAAAGCGUGGGGAGCAAACAGGAUUAGAUACCCCAGGAGUC